rnacentral:rRNA from 1 species
AUGCUGGCUAACAAGGACAUUGGGUGUCUAACAAUCAUUACCCUCCUUCAGACAGCUGGGAUCUAUGAUGUCUUUCUGAAUGAAAUGCUGGACUAUACAGAAACUGCUAUCAAGUGUGACAAAUGCUGUUAUGGACAGCUGCCAAGACUAGCCAAGGAAACUCUUGUAUAUACUUCUUCAGCUCUUCCCACUAAAACUAAAGGAGCUUUCAUAGCAGCCCUGGCAGGCAUGAUUGUCGACAACAGGAAAAACAGUUCCAUGGUGACAAUGGCAUGUGAAAACCUCAAGGACCUAUGUAUCCAAUGCACCGAGAAUGCUGAAUGUCUCAAGAAACUGCUGGAAGCCCUACAGUUGUGA